rnacentral:rRNA from 1 species
UUCGCAAUGCCCGAAAGGGUGACGAUGCGACGCCGCGUGAGCGAAGAAGGCCCUAGGGUUGUAAAGCUCUGUCGAGGGUUAUGAAAUAUAGAUGGGUUAAUACCCCAUUUAUUUGACAAAAGCCCAAAAGGAAGCCACGGCUAACUUUGUGCCAGCAGCCGCGGUAAUACAGAGGUGGCGAGCGUUGUUCGGUAUUAUUGGGCGUAAAGAGCACGUAGGUGGUUUUGUAAGCCAGGUGUGAAAGCCUUCUGUUCAAAGGAAGAACGGCAUCUGAAACUGCAGAUCUUGAGUGUAGGAGGGGAGAGUGGAACUUCUGGUGGAGCGGUGAAAUGCGUAGAUAUCAGAAGGAACGUCGGCGGCGAAAGCGACUCUCUGGCCUAUUACUGACACUGAGGUGCGAAAGUUAGGGGAGCAAACGGGAUUAGAUACCCCGGUAGUCCUAACCGUAAACGAUGGGCACUAAGUAGAGGGGUUUU